AUUCUUGGGCUUGCUAACAACCGCCUUGCCCUGCGCUCCUGCGCCUUGUGCCGGUGGGCCUCACGUGGGUUGUAGACGUAGUCCGGGUGAUUUCUUCGGUGUACGAUGGCAGCUUCGGCCACCUUGCGCUGGUACGGCUCCUUGACGCCGCCGCUGAGAGAACGCCACAGCUUGCGCAGGCGGCUGCUCACGCGCUGGUUGUUCUCGUUCGGGUUCUCAGCGGCCACCGAUCGCCUCUUUUCCUGCGCCAACAGCAUGAAGGCGCUUGGAGGUCGCGGAAUGCGUGACCGCAGCUGGUAGCGGUGCUG